rnacentral:rRNA from 1 species
GGAUGAAAGUGGGGGCCUUCGCAAGAACCUCAUGCUCCUGGAGCGGCCGAUAUCUGAUUAGCUAGUUGGUGGGGUAAAGGCCCACCAAGGCCUUCGAUCAGUAGCUGGUCUGGGAGGACGACCAGCCACACUGGAAACUGAGACACGGUCCAGACUCCUACGGGAGGCAGCAGUGGGGAAUUUUGGACAAUGGGCGCAAGCCUGAUCCAGCAAUGCCGCGUGAGUGAAGAAGGCCUUCGGGUUGUAAAGCUCUUUUGUCAGGGAAGAAACGGUGAGGGCUAAUAUCUCUUGCUAAUGACGGUACCUGAAGAAUAAGCACCGGCUAACUACGUGCCAGCAGCCGCGGUAAUACGUAGGGUGCAAGCGUUAAUCGGAAUUACUGGGCGUAAAGCGUGCGCAGGCGGUUUUGUAAGUUUGUCGUGAAAGCCCCGGGCUCAACCUGGGAAUUGCGAUGAAGACUGCAAGGCUUGAAUCUGGCAGAGGGGGGUAGAAUUCCACGUGUAGCAGUGAAAUGCGUAGAGAUGUGGAGGAACACCGAUGGCGAAGGCAGCCCCCUGGGUCAAGAUUGACGCUCAUGCACGAAAGCGUGGGGAGCAAAC